rnacentral:rRNA from 1 species
GAUAAACGCUGGCGGCGUGCCUAACCCAUGCAAGUCGAACGGUCCCGCAAGGAUAGUGGCGGACGGGUGAGUUACACGUAGAAAUCUACCUCGCCGGAGGGAAUAACUCCUCGAAAGAGGAGCUAAUACCCAAAAGGAUCCGCAAGGAUCAGAGUCCGCAAGGGCCUGGCGAGAGGAGUCUGCGGCCCAUCAGCUAGUUGGUGGGGUAAUGGCCCACCAAGGCUACGACGGGUAGGGGGUCUGAGAGGAUGUCCCCCCACACUGGAACUGAAACACGGUCCAGACACCUACGGGUGGCAGCAGGGAGGAAUAUUGGACAAUGGGGGAAACCCUGAUCCAGCAACGCCGCGUGAGGGAUGAAGGCUUCGGGCUGUAAACCUCUUUUCAGGGAGAAGAGAAAGGACGGUAUCCCUGGAAUAAGUCACGGCUAACUACGUGCCAGCAGCCGCGGUAAUACGUAGGUGGCGAGCGUUAUCCGGAUUUACUGGGCGUAAAGCGCUUGUAGGCGGCCUUGUAAGUUGGGCGUGAAAGCUCCGGGCUUAACCCGGAGAGGCCGUCCAAUACUGCGAGGCUAGAGGGUGCCAGAGGAAGGUGGAAUUCCUGGUGUAGCGGUGAAAUGCGUAGAUAUCAGGAGGAACACCCGUGGCGAAGGCGGCCUUCUGGGGCAUUCCUGACGCUGAGAAGCGAAAGCUAGGGGAGCAAACAGG